AGAUGCGACCGGCGCACGGGUGAGUAACACGUAUCCAACCUGCCGAUAACUCGGGGAUAGCCUUUCGAAAGAAAGAUUAAUACCCGAUGGCAUAAUUAGACCGCAUGGUCUUAUUAUUAAAGAAUUUCGGUUAUCGAUGGGGAUGCGUUCCAUUAGGCAGUUGGUGAGGUAACGGCUCACCAAACCUUCGAUGGAUAGGGGUUCUGAGAGGAAGGUCCCCCACAUUGGAACUGAGACACGGUCCAA
rnacentral:rRNA from 1 species